UACGUAGGGUGCGAGCGUUGUCCGGAAUUAUUGGGCGUAAAGAGCGUGUAGGCGGCCAGGUAGGUCGGUUGUGAAAACUGGAGGCUCAACCUUCAGAGGUCGACCGAAACCAUCUGGCUAGAGUCCGGGAGAGGAGAGUGGAAUUCCUGGUGUAGCGGUGAAAUGCGCAGAUAUCAGGAAGAACACCCGUGGCGAAAGCGGCUCUCUGGAACGGUACUGACGCUGAGACGCGAAAGCGUAGGGAGCGAACAGG
rnacentral:rRNA from 1 species